AUACAGAGACAAGAUCACAAACAGAAAGGGACAUAAGUACAAGAACAAGCAAAGGAGCUGUCAGAGGUCUGUGUAGUGGGGGUCAGAGGUCUGUGUAGUGGGGGUCAGAGGUCUGUGUAGUGGGGGUCAGAGGUCUGUGUAGUGGGGGUCAGAGGUCUGUGUAGUGGGGGUCAGAGGUCUGUGUAGUGGGGGUCAGAUGUCUGUGUAGUGGGGGUCAGAGGUCUGUGUAGUGGGGGUCAGAGGUCUGUGUAGUGGGGGUCAGAGGUCUGUGUAGUGGGGGUCAGAGGUCUGUGUAGUGGGGGUCAGAGGUCUGUGUAGUGGGGGUCAGAGGUCUGUGUAGUGGGGGUCAGAGGUCUGUGUAGUGGGGGUCAGAGGUCUGUGUAGGGGGGGUCAGAGGUCUGUGUAGUGGGGGUCAGAGGUCUGUGUAGUGGGGGUCAGAGGUCUGUGUAGUGGGGGUCAGAGGUCUGUGUAGUGGGGGUCAGAGGUCUGUGUAGUGGGGGUCAGAGGUCUGUGUACUGGGGGUC